GGAGUUUUUCUUAAGGGGCUGGAUUCUGAGUGCAAAUACAAGCCAUUAAGAAGAAGCAUGAAACGAGCAUCCUCAGUUAGUGUGCCCACUGGUCACUCUCCCCUUGGAAGGUAGAACUCGGACUCACUACAGAAUGGAAUUUGGAUCCAUGAGCUGAGAGCACUUCUGGGGACCUCUCUGUGUGCCCAGAACUGUGCCAGGUCCCAGAGAGCAGAUACUUAUGGGAGAGAGUCCCUGACAUCAGCUCAGUGCUGGGGAAGGAGCCUGCCUUUGGAGCUGGACAGAGGCAGCCUCACAUUCUGGUUCUAGGACAUCUCACAGCACAGAAAAGUCUGAUUCUGUCUCUCUGGGUCCAAUAUUAGCUGCAAAAGGGACAUGAGAAUAUUUACCUAGAAAGAGAAAAAAGGAGACACAAUUAGGUAAUCCACAUAUGAAAAGGAGCACAGCCUUGUGUCUGAAACACAGUGGGGACUACAAAUUUUAUCUCUUUCACAAGUGCCGAAAGAUGAACAAACAACAGAUGUGCCUUACCAUCGGUGCUUUUAAUGGCCAAAUUUUUGAGUAACCUAAAUACUCAAGAACAGGGGAUUAGUCAAAUAGAUGAUAUUCCUUCAUAUGAUGGAACACAAUGGCCGCCAUUGAAAAUCGUGACGUUCAUUGACUUGAAAACGUAGUCACAGCUUGUUAAGUAGAAAGAGCGAACUCGUCAGAUCCUCCACAUUUCUGAAGAGACAGCACCAAAGCUCACUAGUAGAUUCUCCCCACCCUUCUUUCUUGUCCUGCCCCUCCUUGGUCCCUCCCUCCCUCCCCUGUAGAUUGGGUGACAGUGUCUCUGAUUGCAGGUGAGUACCCUGGGGCUGGCUCCUCCAGCGUCUUCUCUGUUCUGAGCAGCAGGGCUGUGGUAAAACGGGAACUCCUGAAGGAUGUGGUGGGGGGCUGCCAUUAUCGAGUCAACAAUGACUUGGACAAAAAGUACAUACCACAGCCUGUGAACGUGAUCAUCUGUUCUGCAAAGGAGAAGGUUGGUGAGGAGAUGGUGUAUAAUAUUCUGGACAGAAACUGUGAGCACUUUGUCACUGACCUGAGAUAUGGCAAGGCUAAGAGCGAGCAGGUGGAAAACGUCCUGAUCGGAGCAGGGGUGGCCCUGGGAAUCGGAAUUCUGGGUGUCGUCGGAUAUUCUCUUUGGAAGAAACGCUCCCAAAACCAGUGAGAGCCUGCAGGAGCCACAGAUUCCUGGGUAGAAGCAGCUGUGGAGGCCAGCAGAGACGGCCCCCCACAGCCCGCUGUCUACCAGCCCUCGCGCUACAGUGACCUGCAACUCUCCCUCACUUUCCCAUCCUCACUGGCUGAAGAACGUGCCGAGCGUACCAAUUGAACCAUCAAUAAAUGUAUCUACAGAAAGGACUUCCCCUGGGUGUUUGUAGAUUUCUGGAUCAGAAAGGAGGAACAUUAAUUCAGCAUUAAUUGGAUACUUUCCAACAACCUUUAGCUGUGCAACGCUGGGAAAGGCUCUUGCCUCUCAGAGCCUCAGUUUCGUCCUCUCUGAGUGGGGGUAAUGAACCACUUCACAGGGAUGUCAUGAGGGUCGCUAAGAUGAUAUGUGAACAUGGGGAUGCAUGUAUCUUUUCAAACUAGUGUUUUUGUUUUCUUCAGAUAAAUAACCCCCGCCCCCAGAAGUGGAAUUGCUGGAUAUCAUAUUUCUGUUUUUAAUUUUUUAUGGCAUCUCCAUUCUGCAGCCAUAGUGGCUGUACCAGUUUACAGUUCCACCAACAGGGCAGAAGGGUUCCCUUUUCUCCACAUCCUCAACGACACUUGUUAUUUCUCAUCUCUUUGAUGCUAGUCAUUUUAACAGAUGUGAGCUGUUGUCUUACUGUGGCUUUGAUCUGCAUUUCCCUGAUGGCCGGUGAUGCUAACCACCUUUGCAUGUACUUGGUGGCCGCCUGUAUGUUUUCCAUCUUCUUCAGUUGGGUGAUUAACUCUGCAUUUUUUUCUUUGUUAGUGUAAGGAUUUAUGCUACAAAUUUCUUUCUAAGUAUCCCUUUAGUUGCCUGUCCCAAAUAUUGUUGUCUAAUAUUUUUGUUAUCCUUCAGUUCAAAAUAUUAUCAAAUUUCUACUCUUUUCAUCUUUGACUCAUAAUUUAUCUAACAACAUGUUCUAAAAUUUCUGAGGUAGAAGGUUUUUCUAGCUAUCUCUUUGUUAUUGAUUUUUCACUUUAUUGCAUUAUGGUUAGAGAAUAUGAUCUUUAUGUUACCAGUUCCUUGAAAUUUGUUGAGACUUGUUUUAAGGCCCAGGGUAUGGUCAUUUUUCAUACAUUCUUCUGUGUGUGGUCAAAAACAAUCCAUAUUCCACAAUUGUGCUAUAUAUGUCCAUUAAACCAGCUUGUUGGUAAGUUUUCAGAUUUUCUAUCUUCUUUAACUUUUAUGUCUCCUUGAUUUAUGAGGUUCUGAGAGAGGUGUAUUUAGAUCUCUCACUAUGACGGUGAAUUUGUCCCCUUUUCCUUGCAAUAGGCCAAAAUUUUCAGUAUCUAUUUUCAGACUUUUGUUAGAUGCAAACAAAUUUAGAAUUAUUAUAUCUUCCUAAUGAGGUAAAACUUAAACAGAAACUUUUUGGAGUGUUUACCAACACUGACAACCAAUUCUCUGAUUCUCCAGACACUGGCUGGGUGUUCAACAAUUCAGUUCAAUUUUGACACUAUCUAUGAGGAAUUAGCACAGACCCCACAGUAAGGGCUCAGUCCCACAAGCCUUCCCCUCCACCCCACCUUCAGAUGGCAUUUCCAAGUCCAAGUCCCAAAGCACCCACACUCUGUCAAUGGGGUUUAGAUCAGGGAUUCCCAUGACACCACCUAGGAUUCAAUAAUUUGCUAGCACAGCUCACAGAACUCAGGAAGGCACUUUACUUACAGUUACUGGUUUAUUGUAAGAAAUACAACUCAGGAGUGGAACAGAUGCACAGGGCAAGUUAUGGGGGCAGAGGGAUGCAAGGAGCUUCCAUGCCUUCUUCAGGCACCCCACCUCCCAGCACCUCCAUGUGUUCACCAACCCAGAAGCAUCAUGUCUCCUUGUUUAAGAAUUUUGUAGAGCUUCAUCUUCAGCCCCCCUCUACCACCCAGAGAUCAGCCGGUGGGGCUGAGUUCCAGCUUUCUAAUUACUUGUUCUUUCUGAUGACCAGCCCCAACCUAAGGCUUUCUGGGGUCCCCAGCCUAAGUCACCUCAUUAGCAUAAACUUAAGUAUAAUUCAAAAGGGGCUCAUUAUGAAUAACAAGACACUCCUGGCAGUCAAUAAAUUCUAAGAGUUAGAUUCAUAUUCACAGAGAAGAAACUGGUGACUGCCAUGGGGGAGGAAGGUGGGAAUCGGUGGAUGAAAUAGGUGAAGGGGAUAAAGAGGCACAAAGUUCCAGUUAUAAAAGACAUUAGUCACAGAGAUGAGGAUACCUGAGUAGACUCUUGUAUGAGUAUAGCAUAGGGAAUAUUGUAGUAUCUUUGCAUGUUGAAAGAUGGUAACUACACUUAUGAUGCUGAGGGUUUAAUAAUGUAGAUAAUUGUCACUAUGUUGUUUACCUGAAACCAAUAUAAUAUUGUAUAUCAACUAUACUUUGUGAAAAUUAAGAAAGGGAGACUUCACUAGUCGGGAGGCCAGCAGAGGGGACGCUCACACCUGCCACUUCUCCAUAAAUCUCCCACCCCAGUGGAGGAGACUAAUCCCUUACAAGUUAAUGCUGUUUGAGC